ensembl:lncRNA
CUGGAAUCAUAUCUUAACCCUAAACUGUCAGCUGAAAAGCGAAACGCUUCUCUCUUGCUAUUAUUUCUGCUGAAAAGAAGCGUGGGGAGUCUAAACAAGUUAUUGGAGGAUGAGAUACUGAAAAUGCUGCCCUCCAAGCGCAUGUCCAGUGGGAGAGGAGGAUAGUGGUAUAAGCUGGUUAUAGCAGCUUGCUGCCAGGGGGACAAAACUACAAUCCGCUUUCUCCACCCAAAGAAGCUGUCAGAGGGAUCAUUGUGUGAUGCAAGAAUUACCAGAGCUAUUCAGUGACCAAGCACCUACUAAAUCCAGUGCUGCCUUAUCUCAAGGCAAACCCUUUGAAAGCCUCACAGUUCAGGAAACAGCAAGUAGGAGUACUAGGGAGAGAGUAAGGAGAUUCACUUCAUCCAUGCCCACCUUCAGGAAGGGGGAAUACCAUUGAUGCCUGGUGUGCUUCAUUUCCCCCUGAAGGAUGGACUCCAGUAUAUAUUUUAUAGAAAUUAAGAAGAAGCUGAGGAGGAGGGCAACCCUGUAGGAGUACCAGCGGUCUCAAUUAACAUGGACCCCCGAAAUCUCUCAGACACUGGAUCACCAUCCAGGCAGCAUACACCAGCUGAGAUGAGGCCCCCAACACAUAUACAGCAGAGAACUGCUGGAUCUGGGUUCAAUCAGAGAAGAUGUGCCUAAUCCUGAAGAAACUGGAGGCCCCCGGAGAAGAAAUCUAUCCAAAACACUAAGUGCCUCAAGUCAAGCCUAAUGGACCAUUAAUAUACGUCCUCCCAGACAAAUCCCCUAUUUUUCCAGCCCUCCUCAUCUUCUCACCUCCCCUAGAUCCAGCCACUCUCCUCUUCAGAAAAGAACAGGCUUCCCAGGGAUAUUAACUGAAUAUAUCGUAACAAAAUGCAGCAAGACUGGCCACG